GGGGAUAUAGCUCAGUGGUAGAGUCUUGCCUAGCAUGCACAAAGCCCUGGGUGCAAUCCCUAUGCCCCCC
rnacentral:tRNA from 1 species